rnacentral:pre_miRNA from 2 species
CUGGGAGGCCCAGGUUGCAGUGAGCCGAGAUCACGCCACUGCACUCCAGCCUGGGCAACAAAGUGAGAUUCUGUCUCAAAAAAAAGAUUUUUAAAAUUUUUAUUUUAUUUUGAGAUGGAGUUUCACUCUUGUUGCCCAGGCUAGAGUGCAAUGGUGCGAUCUCGGCUCACUGCAACCUUUGCCUCCCAG